rnacentral:snRNA from 1 species
AUCGCUUCUCGGCCUUUUGGCUAAGAUCAAGUAUAGAAUCUGAGUAUCAGAGAAGACAAAUUCAUUGUCCAUAGUCCCAAAGAAUGUAAGUCUAGGACCUGGACGCAGAAUGUCUGGCUUCUGGGCAAUCACC